ensembl:lncRNA
CAGAGCUGGAACUGCCAGGUCUGGCUGGGCAGCUCCUUUUUUCAGAAAAUCUGCCUUCUCCCAGUACAAGUGACCAAGUUAAGCUGGGAAAGUACACCCUGAAUCCUUCCUAUCACUUGAACUCCUGUGUGGCACUUAGAAGCAACUUGCUUGAUUCUGGAGAGCAGCAGAUUCUGUCUCUCCUAUGGACAUAUAUACACAUAUGCCUUUGUGACAUUGGAUUCCAAGUCCAGCACUGGACUCUCAAGAUGUGUUGGGCACCUAUCCUGAGCUGAUGCCCGAGUUAUCCUCCCUCCAAAUAAUACAUCUCUU